UAAUCGGUGCUUGCACUUCUUUUUCUCUCAACAUUAAAAUUGCACAAAAAAUGAUGAACAAACUCUGACCAGACAAAAAGUCACAAAACCGAUCCUUAUCUGUGACUGCGAGUGUUGCCAUGUGAGUGUUGUAUCGCAUGAUGCUCCCUGUUGCGGUCUGUGGGUGUUGCCGUUGCUUGUGUUGCCAUCGCUGCUGCUCUCUUUUCUGCCGUGGUUGACUCCAUCGUGGCGCUGCCGGUUCAGAUAGUGAUUUGAGGAGUUGAGGCAAGGAGUAAUCACUGUAUGGCCGAAGUUUAGGCAAAGUGGAAUGCUGAACCCCAUUUGAAACAUGUUUUCGUACCAUUUGUUUUGUUAUAAGGAUUAUAUUUGUUGAUAUUUUCUGCAAUCCUAUGAUUUAUUUCUCAAUUCAGAUGGUUAUUAUGUGGGAAUUUAGGAUAUAACACUCCAUUGACCAUGUAUACCUUUUCAUCUGUAAUCUGUUCUGGAGCAUGUCUGGCAAUAAAUUAUUUCAAAUAAAUAAGUGUUUUAUAA